UAACGACUUUAUUUGAUAGCAACCA
rnacentral:miRNA from 2 species